GUAUUAAAAACAAAAUAAAACAGAAGGGCCUUUUUUUUUCCCCAAAAGAAAUUUGGGAGUUGUUAAAGGAGCUAUGUAAUUUCUUGAAAGCAAUGGAUCCAUCUUGCAUUUCUCUUUUUGUUCAGUUCUGGGUUCUGACUCUUGAGAAGGCAAGAAAUACAAGGCUUAGAAUACAUAUGAAGUCAUUCAUAAUAGAUUUCCACAUCAUCCAUGUUGCUAAAACCAAUCAACAAAAGGAAAAAAAAACAACAAGAAAAAUAGUGAAAAAAAUAUGCUUCAAUCUGCAGUCAGAAUUCAUCAGUUCUCUCUCUGGAGCCUCUAAACAUUGGCUGUCACUAUGGCAUGGAGAACUGAAGUGAAGAUGCUGGAGGACGGAGGCAAUCAUGGAAUGACAGAGGCUGGAAGAGGUGCCUUAGAGAUGAUCCAGUCCAAAUGGUGACAGAACAGUAAUCCCUUCUGCAAUCAACUUGAUAAGUGACCUUCCAACCUCUACUUAAAGGUGGAACAGUAAAGGGAAAUCUACAGUCUCCUGAAGAAGCCUAUUUUGCUUUUAUACAGCUCUAGUAAUAAGAAAUUUUACUGUAUAUUGAGACACAAUCUUCCUCCUGCAACUUCUGCUUGUUGUGCCAAAUUCUGCUCACUGGUGCCAAGCAAAAUAAAUCUUCUCUCUCUUCCA
rnacentral:lncRNA from 1 species